rnacentral:rRNA from 1 species
CAGCACCUCAAGUGGUCAGGAUGAUUAUUGGGCCUAAAGCAUCCGUAGCCGGCGCUGUCAGUUUUCGGUUAAAUCCAUACGCUCAACGUAUGGGCUGCCGGGAAUGCUGCAAAGCUAGGGAGUGGGAGAGGUAGACGGUACUCGGUAGGAAGGGGUAAAAUCCUUUGAUCUAUUGAUGACCACCUGUGGCGAAGGCGGUCUACCAGAACACGUCCGACGGUGAGGGAUGAAAGCUGGGGGAGCAAACCGGAUUAGAUACCCGAGUAGUCC